CAGCCGCCGCGGGAACACGUAGGGUGCAAGCGUUAAUCGGAAUUACUGGGCGUAAAGCGUGCGCAGGCGGUUAUUCAAGACUGAUGUGAAAUCCCCGGGCUCAACCUGGGAACUGCAUUUGAAACUGGCAAGCUAGAGUCUUGUAGAGGGGGGUAGAAUUCAGGUGUAGCGGUGGAAUGCGUAGAGAUCUGGAUGAAUACCGGUGGCGAAGGCGGCCCCCUGGACAAAGACUGACGCUCAGGUGCGAAAGCGUGGGGAGCAAACAGGAUUAGAUACCCCUGUAGUCCCUGUCUCUUAUACA
rnacentral:rRNA from 1 species